AAGAAAUAAUAGUCGAACAGACUAUAUAUAAUAACAUCUACAUUAUUAUAUUAACUUAAUUCAACAUCGAGGUUGAAAUCUAUUUUGUAAAUAUGAACUUAUAAAAAUAAUUUCA
rnacentral:rRNA from 1 species